GAUGAACGCUGGCGGUAUGCUUAACACAUGCAAGUCGAACGGACUCUUCGGAGUUAGUGGCGGACGGGUGAGUAACGCGUGAGAAUCUGGCUUUGGGUUCGGGACAACCACUGGAAACGGUGGCUAAUACCGGAUGUGCCGAGAGGUAAAAGAGAAAUUGCCUGAAGAUGAGCUCGCGUCUGAUUAGCUAGUUGGUGAGGUAAAGGCUCACCAAGGCAGCGAUCAGUAGCUGGUCUGAGAGGAUGACCAGCCACACUGGGACUGAGACACGGCCCAGACUCCUACGGGAGGCAGCAGUGGGGAAUUUUCCGCAAUGGGCGAAAGCCUGACGGAGCAAUACCGCGUGAGGGAAGAAGGCUCUUGGGUUGUAAACCUCUUUUCUUAGGGAAGAACAAAAUGACGGUACCUAAGGAAUCGGCAUCGGCUAACUCCGUG
rnacentral:rRNA from 1 species